AGGAAUAUUGGUCAAUGGACGAGAGUCUGAACCAGCCAAGUAGCGUGAAGGAUGACUGCCCUAUGGGUUGUAAACUUCUUUUAUAUGGGAAUAAAGUGAGCCACGUGUGGCUUUUUGUAUGUACCAUACGAAUAAGGAUCGGCUAACUCCGUGCCAGCAGCCGCGGUAAUACGGAGGAUCCGAGCGUUAUCCGGAUUUAUUGGGUUUAAAGGGAGCGUAGGCGGACUAUUAAGUCAGCUGUGAAAGUUUGCGGCUCAACCGUAAAAUUGCAGUUGAUACUGGUCGUCUUGAGUGCAGUAGAGGUAGGCGGAAUUCGUGGUGUAGCGGUGAAAUGCUUAGAUAUCACGAAGAACUCCGAUUGCGAAGGCAGCUUACUGGACUGUAACUGACGCUGAUGCUCGAAAGUGUGGGUAUCAAACAGGAUUAGAUACCCUGGUAGUCCACACAGUAAACGAUGAAUACUCGCUGUUUGCGAUAUACGGCAAGCGGCCAAGCGAAAGCAUUAAGUAUUCCACCUGGGGAGUACGCCGGCAACGGUGAAACUCAAAGGAAUUGACGGGGGCCCGCACAAGCGGAGGAACAUGUGGUUUAAUUCGAUGAUACGCGAGGAACCUUACCCGGGCUUAAAUUGCAGACGAAUUACGAGGAAACUUGUAAGCCGCAAGGCGUCUGUGAAGGUGCUGCAUGGUUGUCGUCAGCUCGUGCCGUGAGGUGUCGGCUUAAGUGCCAUAACGAGCGCAACCCUCGUGGUCAGUUACUAACAGGUUAAGCUGAGGACUCUAGAGAGACUGCCGUCGUAAGAUGUGAGGAAGGUGGGGAUGACGUCAAAUCAGCACGGCCCUUACGUCCGGGGCUACACACGUGUUACAAUGGGAGGUACAGAAGGCAGCUACCCGGCGACGGGAUGCCAAUCCCCAAAACCUCUCUCAGUUCGGACUGGAGUCUGCAACCCGACUCCACGAAGCUGGAUUCGCUAGUAAUCGCGCAUCAGCCACGGCGCGGUGAAUACGUUCCCG
rnacentral:rRNA from 1 species